ensembl:ncRNA lncRNA:CR44324 long non-coding RNA:CR44324
ACUACUGGCUGGGAUUUUAAUUGUUCACGCGGCAAUUACGGCGAUGGCGUUCGAUAAGCCUGACUGUUCCGGAAAGACCUCUACCCACCUCCACCCAACUACUCAGUAAAUAAUAGAGACAAGACAGGAUAAAAACAAAUGCAAACUUUUGUGUGUUUACUUCGUGACGGUGACAAGGGUUCCUGGAGUGCCCGAUUCGGCAAGGAGACAGUAGUUAACAAUGCUGUUGAAUGGUUUCCUACCGUCUUACACCUUCGAGCUGCGAGGGCAAAUGAAAUAAAUGCAAAUUGCCUCCUACGAAGUCACCGCAGCGACACGACGGGCACCACGAAAUGAGACCCCAAUCGAGGGGAAGAUGAACCACUGAACCACCGAACCACCGAACCAGAGAACCACUAAGCCACCAUCAGACAACCGCAGCAGAUCCACCAAAUUAUGUAAAAACCUUGGCAGCAAACACCAGCAAAUUGUGGCCUAGUGCCGAAGUUGUCUGUUUCUUGCAUUUUGGUAGGACAACGCAAGAUCUGAGUUGCCGAGUCUGAGUUGCUGGCCCGUUUUGAUUAACAUAAAGCGAAUAAUAGACAUCGACUGGCAGCAACGUGUAC